GAUGAACGCGGCUACAGGCUUAACACAUGCAAGUCGAGGGGAAACGACGGGGAAGCUUGCUUCCCCGGGCGUCGACCGGCGCACGGGUGAGUAACGCGUAUCCAACCUGCCUCUGAUGAGGGAUAACCCGUCGAAAGUCGGCCUAAUACCUCAUGGCAUCGUCUGCGGGCAUCCAACGACGAUUAAAGAUUUCAUCGGUCAGGGAUGGGGAUGCGUCUGAUUAGCUUGUGGCGGGGUAACGGCCCACCAAGGCUACGAUCAGUAGGGGUUCUGAGAGGAAGGUCCCCCACAUUGGAACUGAGACACGGUCCAAACUCCUACGGGAGGCAGCAGUGAGGAAUAUUGGUCAAUGGGCGAGAGCCUGAACCAGCCAAGUAGCGUGCAGGAUGACGGCCCUAUGGGUUGUAAACUGCUUUUAUGCGGGGAUAAAGUGAGGGACGUGUCCCUCAUUGCAGGUACCGCAUGAAUAAGACCGCAUUC
rnacentral:rRNA from 1 species